rnacentral:rRNA from 1 species
UACCAGCACCCCGAGUGGUCGGGACGUUUAUUGGGCCUAAAGCAUCCGUAGCCGGUUCUACAAGUCUUCCGUUAAAUCCAGCUGCUUAACAGAUGGGCUGCGGAAGAUACUAUGGAGCUAGGAGGCGGGAGAGGCAAGCGGUACUCGAUGGGUAGGGGUAAAAUCCGUUGAUCCAUUGAAGACCACCAGUGGCUAAGGCGGCUUGCCAGAACGCGCUCGACGGUGAGGGAUGAAAGCUGGGGGAGCAAACCGG